rnacentral:rRNA from 1 species
GAUGAACGCUGGCGGCGUGCCUAAUACAUGCAAGUCGAGCGAACAGACGAGGAGCUUGCUCCUCUGACGUUAGCGGCGGACGGGUGAGUAACACGUGGAUAACCUACCUAUAAGACUGGGAUAACUUCGGGAAACCGGAGCUAAUACCGGAUAUUAUAUUGAACCGCAUGGUUCAAUAGUGAAAGACGGUUUUGCUGUCACUUAUAGAUGGAUCCGCGCCGCAUUAGCUAGUUGGUAAGGUAACGGCUUACCAAGGCAACGAUGCGUAGCCGACCUGAGAGGGUGAUCGGCCACACUGGAACUGAGACACGGUCCAGACUCCUACGGGAGGCAGCAGUAGGGAAUCUUCCGCAAUGGGCGAAAGCUUGACGGAGCAACGCCGCGUGAGUGAUGAAGGUCUUCGGAUCGUAAAACUCUGUUAUUAGGGAAGAACAAAUGUGUAAGUAACUAUGCACGUCUUGACGGUACCUAAUCAGAAAGCCACGGCUAACUACGUG